CUACCAAAAUGGGAACGGAGUUGAGAAAAAGGGUGAGAGGACAUGAUGUUAUGUUCCACAUUUCUGAAUUUAGAAAUGUAAUCCUGUUUGAGUAACUUGUUACUACAGUUCCAGGUGGAGUGGAAACACGCCAUAUAGCUGCUGUGAGGGUGUCAUUCCUGGAUGCCACGUUUUCAAGUGCUUUACCACUCAUGGUCUGGAGCUGGCUAGAGUGACUUCUGUCAACUCCAGUUUGCAGGUUUUCAGGCACCAGUGAAGUUCAUGUGAAAGGAACACGCUCGUCCACACGGGAUGUUCAGGAGACUCUUCUGAGCUUUGUAAGCGCAGAGACUAUACUGAUUGACCAAAGCUUAGAAACGGACCUCUGUGCACUUAAGUCCAGGACAAGGCCUAAUCUCAGCCUUAUGAAUAAGAUUACGCUCCACAACCUGACAGCAGACUACCCGAGGAGGAUCAUCGAGGAGAGUGGAGGGUCAAACAAACAAGUCUCUGGCAAUGGGAAUAAUACCCAUCACCUGUGUGUCAUUUCAUUUCUAAACAGUCAAACUGAUCAUGGUGUAAGCAGGGAAAGAUGUUGCAUGAAUCUUUUAAUGAAGUGUCUCACAAUCCCAACUCGGUCCAUUCACUGCUUACUGUUAAAUGUGUUCUUAGAACACUUGUAAAAGCAGUUGAGACAAUCUGAGAGAUGAUCAUGUUUUGUAGUAGGCAAAAGUCCUAAACAUGUAUCCACUAAUUUGAGAGUCAUUCCUCAUCCAAGGUUUUCAGAUUUUGUGCAUGUGCGCUAUAGGUUUAUAGUAACUAUGUGUAUGGUAUUGCUCUGCUCCCUUCCAGUGGGUGGCCAUGACUCUGCAGAAGCUGCUGCCUGCUCAUGUAACGAGUACGCUAGGAGUCGGGAAGCUAGUACAGGGAGUGAAUUUAAUAAUAAAUGGAACAAAUCAAAUCAAAUCAAAUUGUAUUUGUCACAUACACAUGGUUAGCUGAUGUUAAUGCGAGUGUAGCGAAAUGCUUGUGCUUCUAGUUCCGACAAUGCAGUA